AGUGUUCACGGCGGUCCUUGAU
rnacentral:miRNA from 14 species